rnacentral:rRNA from 1 species
UACGUAGGGGGCGAGCGUUGUCCGGAAUUAUUGGGCGUAAAGAGUCUGUAGGCGGUUUUGUAAGUCAGGUGUGAAAGCCCCGGGCUCAACCCGGGAAGUGCAUCUGAUACUGCUUAACUUGAAUGUUGGAGAGGGUAGUGGAAUUCCUGGUGUAGUGGUGAAAUACGUAGAUAUCAGGAGGAACACCGGUGGCGAAGGCGGCUACCUGGCCAGACAUUGACGCUGAGAGACGAAAAGCGUGGGGGAUCAAAACAGG